AUCCUCUCAGGGUCACACCUGGAGAGUUUUCAAUACUCUACCAGUCUCGGCUACAAGAGGGCGAGUCAAGCAGAGGUAUAUCCAUUCCAUUCCUAGCUUGGUCAGUGGCUACUGAGUGGAAGACAAUCUGUUACAAGU